GCUUACGGCCAUACCACCCUGAACAUGUCCGAUCUCGGAAGCUAAGCAGGGUCGGGCCUGGUUAGUACUUGGAUGGGAGACCGCCUGGGAAUACCAGGUGCUGUAAGCU
rnacentral:rRNA from 1 species